GGGCGAUUGCGUUUUGUUCAAGUUUUGGGUUCGUGCAUUCAUCAGUGAUGGAGUGUAUUUAAAUAAUGCAAUUUUUGGCUUUAUUUUUAUUCAUGUUUGGGCUAAUACAAAAAAAAAUUAAAAAAAAAAAAAAGCAGCAACGACCGAGAGUUGGGCCCGGGAUGGCCGUGUGGCGGUCCACCGCUUGGCCGCGGCGCCGUGCCUGCAGUUGUCGAUUGUUUUGGCUGGCUUGUAUACUAUCGCUCUUUCUUUUUUCGGGGGUCAUUUUCUCGAUGACGGCUGGGCGUUGGCCUCUAAUCUUUCACUGUG
rnacentral:lncRNA from 1 species